GUUGAGGCUAGCCUCUAAUGGGAAUGGUCGUUGGAUCAAAGCUCAGCUGGUGUAUAAAAUAACCUAAAGUGUGGCAUGUUGGAAAAAGUGGGGUGGUUCACAAGCUGCAAAUGGAAUGAAUAAAUCACACUGAGUGGUGGUGGUCAGUGUGCCCCUCGAAUGAAGGCAUGGGUGCAGGUGGUGGUCGGUGUGCCCCUCGAAUGAAGGCAUGGGUGCAGGUGGUGGUCGGUGUGCCCCUCGAAUGAAGGCAUGGGUGCAGGUGGUGGUCGGUGUGCCCCUCGAAUGAAGGCAUGGGUGCAGGUGGUGGUCGGUGUGCCCCUCGAAUGAAGGCAUGGGUGCAGUAGAACCCACCCACAAGGAGCAGAUCCAAGAGCAAGGGAAAUGGCUGCUCUGCCAACACCCAAAAAUAUUA